GACCCCAGCGCUGUUCGCCUCCUGCCCUUGUUUUCUAGGCUUCGCGAAGUUGGCACGCCACGUGUCUCGAUCCGGCGCGUCCAAUCCUCCUAUGUAUACCCCUUUCCGUAGGCGCCCUGUCCCCUGCGGCGAUUGCGAGAACCCGAGGGGGAGAGAGGUCGGUAGGGAGAUGGAUAGGGGCUUUUUCUUCUUCUUCUAGCUUUUCCCCUGCAGCGAGCUUCCUCCCUCUCUCUCUUCUUCUUAUUCUUAUCUGUCCAUUGAUGGAAUGAUUCAUUGGGCCUUGUUUGUUAUAUGGUCGCCGCCGCCUCUGAUUCGCUUGGUGCAGGUCGGGAACGGGCUCGAUUUUUGCCCGACGGUGAGCUGGAUCCCGCCUUGCAUCAACUGAAUCCGAGCCGGAAUGCGACGCUCGGCGCCUUCGGUGCACCGCCGCUCCGGAUCAUGUGAUUUCUCUGGUUCAAGAUCAGAUCUUUGUUUUUGUUUGUUGUCUCCUCGUGGGAUCCGCCUACCCCGUUUCGAUCUGCUUUUGCCCCGUCUCAUUUCUUUAAUGAUCUGUUAAAGUUGAUAACUUUAUGCUUAAAUUUGUGAUUUUAUUGAAUUGAUGGAUUCGAUGAACUGUUCUUUAUUGCUUUGUAUUUCGUUUCUUAUAUUGCAAACACUUACUCUUUAGGUGCUGGAUUUCCUCAGCUUGGAGCUUAUUGGAUUGGUUCCUCUCAUUCCUUGGCUUCCGAUUCAUAAUUUUUCUUUAGUGGUCCGCCAAAGUUUGUGUCCUUGUCUGUUGAUCUGUGUUUUUUUAUUAAAUCUAUGGUCUUCAUGAACUGGUUUUUGCUUUUGAAUCCCAAAAAUUUGAACUUUGGGAGCCAAGUGAAUAUGGAUUUCAUGUUUUUAAACUAAUUGAUUGUACAACCGUUUGAAAUACUUCAUAUAUUCAUCAGUUCGAAGAUCAGAUGUUUGUUUUCUCUUGGGAUGGUAUUCCUCUGCUUCACUCUUGGUUCCUUCUUGGUUUGUUAUGUGCCUUGUUGAUCUGUGAAAGAUGGUAACAUUUAUUGCUUGGCUUUUGGUUUCGAUUGAAUUGAUCAGUUGAGAACUGGUUUUGGUUUUUGGACAUAUCAUGUUAGCUCAUCCAAUACUUGAAUAGCUAAGGCAACUUGAUCCCCUGACAAUGUCAUUCCAUCAAUUAGAUGGCCAAGAGCUAGGCUUUAACUAACGAACAAACACAGGCAUUUAUAUUAUUAUCAAGACAUAUCUCUGCUCUAGUUAUCUAUGUUAAUCUGCUUCAGCUCAAAUGGCAUGUUCCUUCCAUUAAUUAUUUUUUAGUGUCCUUUUAUGGUUAAUUAGUUUCUAGUGUAAGAGUCCUGAUAGAAGAGAUGGGGCUUACUUAGUUUGCUAACAUUCAAGAAGGCAAGCUGUCUUCAGUUGGUUCCAUUUUUGCCUGGUCUUCUUAAUACAUAUUUGGUCUUAUUUGCCUCCCAUAACAAAUGUGUAACUGAAGAAAAUAGAAUCUAAAAAGAUCUCCUCCCUUGAAGGCUCUGGAAAUGAUUGCAGAAGCAAAGAAAAGUUAUGCUACAUGCCUUGAAUAAUUGGAGAGUAAGAAUCAUUAGACUGGAGAGCUGAACUACUAGCAUGUAUGGUAAAACACGCUGAGAGUUCAAGGGCUUGGGUUUUAUCUUUCGUGUGAAAAUAUGAUUGAUCUUCUUUCUCGAUGCCGUCCGAUCAUGCUCCAGACAGAUCUCAAUCCAUGUGCGCAGAUCUCAAAGCAACCAAUGUGUGAUCAAAUGGUGGAUUCGCUUGAAGGAAGGUGAAACCUUCUUCCGCGCGAAAGGUUCAACCCUGUCUCAGAGUUUAAAGGGCCACCUUAUCAUGAUAUCCGCAUUUCUAAAUUCAAAUUUUAUCCGGGUUGUUAGUAAUGACUGUAUUCAAAGACUUUGAAAUCACCACCAGGGAAUCCACUAGAUCGAGUUCAGUCAAAUUACAAAACACUGUAAAUAGAUUAUUCAGGUUUGCAACCCGGUCAUGCUCGGUCAAGUUAUCAAAUAUUGUAAAUAGAUUUUUGAGGUAUCAUCAAAAAUUCAAGGUCUGUCAAAGUGUAUGGUUGGUCUAUUAUAUUAAUAUGUACUUACAGACUUUACAUAGAAUAUAGUAAUAAAACUGCCAGCUCAAGUGGCCACCCAAGUCUUCAUCAAGCUUAACAUCUUUAAAUGGAUUUGUUUAGUACUAUUAUUAUCUUGAAGUUGCACUACUUGGGUUUUGCUCCAAAGUUAUCUUAAAGUAUGAUCAAUUGGUGAACUUUGGUUUACAAAUCUGAUGAUGACAGUACCUCUUUACGGGCGUUUUCUUGGAACAGGGAUGGAUAUGUUUGGUGGAUUGCACAUGGUUGACGUACGGAUGUCUUACAACUGAAGGGACGUUAAGCUUAAUUGUAAAUCCUGAGGACUUGGCUAUGGCUUUCGUGUCUGCACUGAUGGUCAGUUGAAAAUAAUAUGUGGAAAUAAGCUUCUGAUCUACUCGAAUACAGAAUCUCUCUAACAAUUUCAUCUGCCUUCAAAUGCAGUUAAGAAUUUUUCUUUUACAUGUCACUUUUAGAAGAGAAAAAAAAAGUAGAACACAUGUUAGAAAUGCACGGGUCAUGUUUUGAUGUUAAAUUUCCCACAUACUUGUCACCUUAGGUGCUUCAGGUUUUCCUCCUCCUGCAACAAAGGCAAGAUGCUUCAAUAAUAGGUUUAUUCAUUUGACUGAAACAGCGUAGAUUUGCUUUAAGCUUUGCUCAAACACUAGAUUAUGCUCCCUACCCUGAAAGAUACACAGUUUGAUUAGUGUGAAGCAAACAAGUAAGCAGUACUAAACUAACAUCUCAUUGAUCUUGUCAAUAGUUUCAUUAAUCUACAAAAUAGAGUUGAACUCGCUGUUGGUUGUGCUUAACUAGUUUUGGCAUGUAUUUUAUCAAAUAAAUAAGAUGCUUCCUUUCAUUUAGACUCUGAAGUCUGAACUAAGUACAUCCACAGCCUCACUGUUAGCAAGUUCUGCAUCAUCUUCUUGUCUUCUCUCGUCUUCACUUGCUCUCUCUGCUGCUCGAGCUACAUUUACCAUACAUUUGCUUAUAA